rnacentral:pre_miRNA from 1 species
UCACCUAGGGCCUGAUUCAAAGCCCAUUGAAAUGAGUGAGAGUCUUUCCAUUGACUUCAAUGGGCUUUGGAUCAGGCCCCUAAAAA